rnacentral:lncRNA from 1 species
UCACACCCAUCGCGUCCAGCGUUUCUCCUUUUCUCUACUCCCAACUAGCUAGGGACGCCGCCGCCGCCCUCACCCGCGCUCGUGCCCUCUUCGUCUCCUGUCCCGAGGUCCACCUCCUCCAGCCUCAUCUCCCUCGAUCUUCUUGAUUUGGAUCUCGGGAGCAGACAUGGGAGGGAGGCGAUGUGCCGGCGAGGCCUCUGGGACCGUGUGGCGGGCGUGAGCCCCCCACCCUCGUCCACGACGAUGAGGACUGGUUCGCGUUUUGCCUCCAGUUCCAACUCAUGGUCACGCUGGAUAUGCCCCAUGACACCGUUUGCGUCAAUCUGAAGGUUAGGGAGGACAGGGACGAGGUGCGGGCACAAAUGCAGGUCCUCUCUCUCUCGGUUGGAUCAGAAACUUCUCAAUUUUACACGCAGAAUCGACCUGAUGGUUUCUUCUAAAUGUUUAUUAAAACCUAAGAAGCUUUCUUUGUUUUGUCAUAAUCAGGUGUUGAAUGAUUCUCAAUAUCGAUCAACAAUCUAGUAGGUGGCACAUAUGGGUCCCUCACCAUGCUGUUGACACGAUGGCCCUACCGAAUCAAGGACGAGCCAUGAGAUAACAUAGCCGGCGGCUCUCGUCACGCACACCGGUUGGUCCUGCUCCGGCGAGCCGCCGCCACCGUGCCUGUUUAGAUCUCACUAUUUAGUUUAUAGGUGACCCGUGCCUCCUUUUAUCUCCCUUGCAUUAUUGAUGUGGGUAACUUCCACUCUAGUCCUAACCUUCUCUUUUGGUUUUCCGGUAGGUUCUUUGUCGGGCAGUGUAGAACUGAAAUAGUUGAAGAGAACAUCAUGAGGCGAUGCUAGAAGCUUGCUUGUGUGCUAGCCGUUGUUGUGAUUUUAAGAAAUUUACAAGUUCACUCAAUGGAAAAAAGAGGGACUAUGGUGAGAGGUGACUAAAUCUACAAUGUUGAAUCCCUUUACCAUUAGUACUCCCUCCAUUUUUAUAUACAAGGCCACAAACCCACAUUACACGUACCAACGCAAAAGUUAAUGCCUUCCAAGUCAACGUUGCAAGACAACUUGUCUCCUUGUUUACCGUGUAAAUUAAUGUGUAUUUCUCUGUCUCAUGCAUAUCAAGCCAAUGAUCUCACUCCUGCAUGCAUGCAAGGGAUAAUUAAUGUCCUGCUUUGCUAGUACUACGAGGCAAACACCAUUAAUGUUGCAUCAAUUAGUGUUAGUGGCCUUGUAUAUAUGCAAAUUGUAAUUUUUAUAGUGGCCUUGCAUAUAAAAAUGGAGGGAGUAGUUUAAAUAGCAACCAAAAUUUCUUUUCAUGAGACGGUGAUUAAUUAGUCUAAAGUUGUUCUACAUAUUAGUAAAAUGUUGUAUUUGCACUAGAAAGUUCAAUUUCUUUGCUAAACCAUGGACCGGUCAAUGUUGAAUUAGCUGAGAAUGUUUUUGAAGUUCGUUGAAUCACUUGUGUGAAUAUUUAUACCAACUAUGAGUGUUUCAUAAUCGUGGGAAUUUCUUUACCAUCUUUCAAGUACAUCGAAAUCUCCUAGGAUGGCAAACAAGAAGUCGACCAAAAUAUCCGGCAACGGUGGUGAGCAUAGUGGUGACAUGUGAUUUCCAUGCCUAUUUGUCGGCUCUACAAAAUGCACAUUUGAUUUCUCCAUAUUCAUUUGUUGAUUUCUACUUUCAUGAGAAGUUGAGAACUACUUGAGGCAGAGUAUUUACAUCCUCAAUUUCAUCCUUCACUCCUUGUAGGUGUACUUACCCUUCUCUUGCUGCUGUUGCAUCUAGAUAUGCAAUCUAUGCUAGCUUUGUGGAAGUGGAGAUGGAAAGGACGUUGUCAUUAGUCAAGUCAUGUGAGCGGGGAAGGGGCCAAAAAAGCGAAGCUAAAAACAGCUAACAGGCCCAUCAGAAUAUUGUAAGGAUGAAACUUUUCAUCCUUGCACAUCAUGUGAUAAUUGAAUACUAUAAUCACAUGACCUAUUUACUCGUUAUGAUCUCAUAUACAUAUUUUUGGGACAUUUUUUGUUCCUUUUCUUUCUUCACGGGCCAUCUUUAGUGCUUUUCCAGUUAAUGGUAUCUUUGGGCCGAAAUAUAAUAGUUGCUAAUGCCUUUGGAUCGUUUACUUUGUUGGUUUUAUGAUUCUUGGAGGAUUCAUCACAACUAAAGGUUGAUUCGUCAGAAAUAUUUUCAGCUACUUGAGGUUACAUUUUGAACCGAUACAUCUAACAUAUUGCAACCUUUUUCUGACUAUUUAAAAGAAAGCUCAGUCUGUUGGUUUUGGUGUUAUGGGAUCUCUCCUAUUAUAUAUGCACAAAAUGCUAUAUCAGUAUAUGAAUUCCAUGGGCAUUCUUGGUCCAAGGUGAACUUGAUUUUAAUAAUUCUCCGAAGAAGUUGUGCACUUUUCAUUUUGUCUCAACCAAUGUCGCUUUCAUCUUAAUCAUAGACAUGCGAGCCUAAUUUUUCUUGCAUAUUUUACUUGGUGGCUAACUCAAACUUAUUUGUUGUCAUUUUUGUAUUCAUCAUCACGAACAAGACCAGAUCACUGGAGUAGUCUCUGUCAAAACAUAUAACAAAUAAUAAGCCCUAUCACUACCUCUAGAGAACAAACAAGAGUUAAAUGAUGUAGAUUAUGAAUGAUGAACUCGUAAUGGGCGUGGAGGGCAGGUCUGCAAGGUGUUUUGGUAACCCUUUCUUGGUGUGAACAAUAUGGUCUGGUAUUGUUGUUAGUUGUCAAUCAAUCCAGGAUUUGACCUUGUUUGCAAAUUCAAGUGUUUUAUUAGAAGGAUGACGCAAAUCCAACACAAGGAACAUGUUAAUAUGCAUACUAUUGUUCUUCCUGAGUCAUUUGUGCAACAUAUAUUUUUCACCAUAGUAAUUGAAAUUUGACUCGUGUGUAGGUUGAUUUUGGUGUGUUCGAAGUUCUACAACUAUCAAAGGCUGCUCGUUCUGAAAGUUAUUCAGAAACAUGCACGCUGUGACCAACUUUUUUUUCAGAUAUCUCUAUUUUUCAAUGGUUUGUGCUGAUUCACAAAGGUGCAAUGAAAUUAUCUAAAAUCAUUUUAUUUUGGCUUCCCAUUGACUACUUUGAAGAGUGGGGCAUCCUGAUGUUUUCCUUUGACGUGCACAGUAUCCCUAUGUUUUUACACUACCAUUUUUUCAUUCUUUUUUAGUGUAUAUGAUGCACUUCUUUUGUCUAAGUUAACUCUUCAUUCUUCUCCUAUGCUCUUCCAGAUUGAUUACUCUUUAGACACUGAAUUAAAUGUUUCACAUUUUAUUGGAGAAUCAUAUAUCUAUGCUAGAUUAUAAUAUUUAGUUCAGAAUUGUGUAUCCACCUUUUUACUGAAUUUUACAAAUGUUUUUUGCUUGUUUAGUUUACCCAGCAUUAGGGCUCUCUCACAUUUUUGUCCUGAUUUUUAUAAAUAUCUGCUGGGGAUUCAUAUUUUUUCGUUAUUUCUUCCAUUUGUUUUGAAAGAGAAUAUCAGUUUUGAAUAGUCAUUAUCUUUGACCAUUAUAUUGUGAGUCGAUACAAUAAUUUCUCAUUUCAGGUCCACUCCCUCCUCGAAGAAUAUCUGAUUCAUUAUUCGUUUCGUGAAUUCUUUAUUCCAGCUCCUGCGGAGGAGGAUUAUGCACCCUUAUUAUCAUUGCGAAGAAGGCAAUAGAAGGCUAUGGAUUUUCUAGGGUGGGCACAUUUGCUGUCUGGUCUUCUGAUGCAACACUGUGAUUCACCUUUUGCUCUCUGGUUCUUGAAUUUUGGCUUUUGGCUGCUCGUGUAGUAUCGUCCUAAAUAAGUAGAUGAGUUCGAUCCAUCGUGUCCAUUUGUCCUUUGGGUAAAUAAAUGAAGAAAACUACAAAAAUAUAUAUUUUGUGCUGUGUGAUUUAUCUUGUAAGACUGUUACCUUUCUAUUAAGACACAUAUUACCUUGCUUUGCUUGCUCUGCUUUCUGAGUGAAUGCUCUGCUGCUGGUGCAGUUUAAUUAUGUCUAAUUUUUUAGAACUGGCAUUUAUUUAGACUGUAUAUACAUGUUUACAAAUUUAUCAGCUAGAUUAGUGUGUCGAGUCACGCAAAGGAGACGUGCCCUGGGUGCGUCCCUGUCACUAGUAUCUUAUUUUUUAUUUUUAUUUUUAUUUAUAAAGUUUACACUUGGUGGUCGUCCGUUCACUCCUAUGUACCACCUCUUUCUCUCAGCUCUGUCAAGCGAACCACGCGUAAGAACCUAC